ensembl:lncRNA
CGUGCCUAAUGUCAGAGAGGAACACUGCUCGGAACACUAAAUCAAAUGCUGACAACCUAUAAGACACACUGGAGACGUGCAUGUGAAAGCUGUCGGGAAGAGAAUAAUAUGUGAAAACGUCCAUCCAAAGGAGAUAAAUCCCACUAAAAGCUACUGUAGAGACACUUCAAACUACAUAUGACUGUAGGCAGUAGCCUACCAGUAGGGCAACCCUGCCCUGAGGAUCAGCGAAGCAGCCAUUCUUCAAGCAAUUGGGACAUACACGCCGCCCAGGCUGAAGGGCUGUUUGUUUGCUUUUCUAUCCCUUGUAUUUGACAAGAGACUAAGGGGCCCCAAGAGCAACACUCCAGGGAGGGCUUAUCAGGGGCCCCUCCCGAUUCCACUGAUGACAGGGUCCUGCUUGGUUCAGAUUGGACAUCCUCAGACGUCACCGCCGCUCUCGUUUAUAUUCACCAACACUGAAAGGUCUACUGUUAAAAAAAAAAAAACACUGCAGAUUUAUGGGCGACACGCUAGGAUUUGGGCUUUGGCCACAGUUGAUGGAAAUUCUUUAAUCUGUGGAAAAAGGACAACUGGAUACCAGGGGACUAACGGGUGAAAUAUUUGUGUGGGACUUUGGUAUCAAUAGAAUGCAACAGCAUGGUAAGAAGAGGACAUCAAUCAAAUGAUUCUGGCCUGAAGAACUGACCCACUGCAAAGUGUUACACAUUUUUGCUUCAGUGAAAUAUCUUGCUAAUUCUCUAGUCUGAUAAUAUAACCCUACAUGGCUAUUCAGGUCCAGUUUUGUCUAACUGUUGAUUGAAUCUGGUAUCCAGAACUACAAGUAUUUAGGAGUCACUCAAAUAACACACUACUUAUACACCAUUAGCUCAG